rnacentral:tRNA from 1 species
GGUCCUAUAGUCUAGUGGUCAGGACGUUGGAUUGUAAGUUUUCGAACAAUCAAGUUCAUCCGAAUCCCAUCUAACCAAUUACAGUUGAUCAUCAGUCAAAAUAUCCUUCCAAAGACGCCAGUUCGAACCUGGCUAGGACCU